rnacentral:rRNA from 1 species
AUUGAACGCUGGCGGCAUGCCUUACACAUGCAAGUCGAACGGUAGAGGGGCAACCCUCGAGAGUGGCGAACGGGUGAGUAAUGCAUCGGAACGUGCCCAGUCGUGGGGGAUAACGUAGCGAAAGCUACGCCAAUACCGCAUACGACCCGAGGGUGAAAGCGGGGGACUCGCAAGGGCCUCGCGCGAUUGGAGCGGCCGAUGUCGGAUUAGGUAGUUGGUGGGGUAAAGGCCUACCAAGCCGACGAUCUGUAGCUGGUCUGAGAGGACGACCAGCCACACUGGGACUGAGACACGGCCCAGACUCCUACGGGAGGCAGCAGUGGGGAAUUUUGGACAAUGGGCGCAAGCCUGAUCCAGCCAUGCCGCGUGCGGGAAGAAGGCCUUCGGGUUGUAAACCGCUUUUGUCAGGGAAGAAAUCUUCUGGGUUAAUACCUCGGGAGGAUGACGGUACCUGGAGAAUAAGCACCGGCUAACUACGUGCCAGCCGCCGCAGUAAGAC